rnacentral:rRNA from 1 species
CGAGUUACCCUAUGUGGCAAGCUUAAGACCGAAAGGCGUAGGCGAAGCGAAAGCGAGUCUGAACAGGGCGUUCAGUCGCAUGGGGUAGACCCGAAACGGUGUGAUCUACCCAUGGUCAGGUUGAAGCGCGGGUAAAACCGCGUGGAGGACCGAACUCACCGGUGUUGAAAAACUGGGGGAUGAACUGUGGGUAGGGGUGAAAGGCCAAUCAAAACACCGAAAUGGCUGGUUCUCCCCGAAAUAUAUCUAGGUAUAGCGUCGCGUAUGACCUCGGGAGGUAGAGCACUGAAUGGGCUAGGGGUCUCACCAGAUUACCAAACCCAAUCAAACUCUGAAUACCGUCAAGUGCGAGUAAGGCAGACAGACAGUGGGUGCUAACGUCCAUUGUCAAGAGGGAAACACCCAGACCGCCAGCUAAGGUCCCCAAGACACAGUUAAGU